GCCUAUUGCCAUAUCACACUGAUCAUGCCCAAUCUCGCCUGAUCUUGGAAGCUAAGCAGGGUUGGGCCUGGUUAGUACUUGGAUGGGAGACCCCCUGGGAACAUGAGUGCUGUAGGCA
ensembl:rRNA 5S_rRNA 5S ribosomal RNA